CCUACGGGAGGCAGCAGUGGGGAAUAUUGCGCAAUGGGCGAAAGCCUGACGCAGCGACGCCGCGUGAGGGAUGAAGGUCUUCGGAUCGUAAACCUCUGUCAGCAGGGAAGAACGGUCACUGUGCUAAUCAGCAGUGAAUUGACGGUACCUGCAAAGGAAGCACCGGCUAACUCCGUGCCAGCAGCCGCGGUAAUACGGAGGGUGCGAGCGUUAAUCGGAAUUACUGGGCGUAAAGCGCUCGUAGGCGGUAUGUCAAGUCAAGGGUGAAAUCCCCGCGCUCAACGUGGGAACUGCCUUUGAAACUGGCAAACUGGAGUGUGUGAGAGGAAAGUGGAAUUCCAGGUGUAGGGGUGAAAUGCGUAGAUAUCUGGAGGAACAUCAGUGGCGAAGGCGACUAUCUGGCACAUAACUGACGCUGAGGAGCGAAAGCGUGGGUAGCAAACAGGAUUAGAUACCCCUGUAGUC
rnacentral:rRNA from 1 species